rnacentral:rRNA from 1 species
UACGUAGGGGGCGAGCGUUGUCCGGAUUUAUUGGGCGUAAAGAGCUCGUAGGCGGCUCUUCGCGUCGGAUGUGAAAGCUCAAAGCUCAACUUUGAGAGGCCAUUCGAUACUGCCGUGCUUGAGGACUGGAGAGGAGACUGGAAUUUACGGUGUAGCGGUGAAAUGCGUAGAUAUCGUAAGGAAGACCAGUGGCGAAGGCGGGUCUCUGGACAGUUCCUGACGCUGAGGCACGAAGGUCAGGGGAGCAAACGGG